GACGAACGCUGGCGGCGUGCCUAACACAUGCAAGUCGAGCGAGAAUCUCAUUAAUGAUUCCUUCGGGAUGAUUUAGUGAGAGGAAAGCGGCGGACAGGUGAGUAACGCGUGAGUAACCUGCCUUCAGGAGGGGGACAACAUUCCGAAAGGGAUGCUAAUACCGCAUGACAUACAUUUGAGGCAUCUCAGAUGUAUCAAAGAUUUUAUCGCCUGAAGAUGGACUCGCGUCUGAUUAGAUAGUUGGUGGGGUAACGGCCUACCAAGUCGACGAUCAGUAGCCGAACUGAGAGGGUGAUCGGCCACAUUGGGACUGAGACACGGCCCAGACUCCUACGGGAGGCAGCAGUGGGGGAUAUUGCGCAAUGGGGGCAACCCUGACGCAGCAACGCCGCGUGAAGGAAGAAGGUUUUCGGAUCGUAAACUUCUUUAAGUGGGGAAGAUAGUGACGGUACCCACAGAAUAAGCCACGGCUAACUACGUGCCAGCAGCCGCCGUAAUAC
rnacentral:rRNA from 1 species